UACGAAGGGGGCUAGCGUUGUUCGGAAUUACUGGGCGUAAAGCGCACGUAGGCGGAUAUUUAAGUCAGGGGUGAAAUCCCGGGGCUCAACCCCGGAACUGCCUUUGAUACUGGGGUAUCUCGAGUCCGAGAGAGGUGAGUGGAAUUCCGAGUGUAGAGGUGAAAUUCGUAGAUAUUUCGGAGGAACACCAGUGGCGAAGGCGGCUCACUGGCUCGGUACUGACGCUGAGGUGCGAAAGCGUGGGGAGCAAACAGG
rnacentral:rRNA from 1 species